rnacentral:rRNA from 1 species
AUGGUCAGGUCGCCGGCAACCCCCACCCCGACCCCCAGGUCGCUGGCUGCCCCAAACCCGACCUCCAGCUCGGCGGCUGCCCCCAAACCCGAUCUCCAGCUCGGCGGCUGCCCCAAACCAAACAAAGUCGUCAUGAAGCCGUCGACGUCCAAGGAAAAGAGGAAGGCAAGUGAAGGAAUGUGCACUAAUCCACCGGCACCGUUGCUUGGACCUUUGGCCGUUGACAUGGAGAAGCAGGCACCACCAUUAAAGAAGAAAAGGCUUAAUAAGAGAGAUGCUGCAACUAUACCAUCAUCCGGAUCUUUGCCCAUUGACAAGGAUAGGCAACCAUCACCUCGAUCUUUGCCUGUUGACAAGGAUAAGCAGCCUGCACCUGGAUCUUUGCCCCUUGACAAUAAUAAGGAGCCAUCAUCUGGAUCUUUGCCCAUUGACAAGAAUAAGCAUCCAUCACAAUCCAAAAAAGUGGUAAGGUCUUCAGUCCUUAACAAUGUCGUAGUUUCAUUCUUAGCAAGAAGAGAAAAAAAAGGCUAA